GGCGGGUGGAUCACGAGGUCAUGAGAUCGAGACCAUCCUGGCUAACACGGUGAAACCCCGUCUCUACUAAAAAUACAAAAAAUUAGCCGGUCGUGGUGGCGGGCGCCAGUAGUCCCACCUACUCGGGAGGCUGAGGCAGGAGAAUGGCGUGAACCCUGGAGGCGGAGGUUGCAGUGAGCCGAGAUUGCGCCACUGCACUCCA
rnacentral:lncRNA from 1 species